CCUGUCUCGAAUGAAGAGUUGAUCACCUUUAUCCUUGCUGGAUUGGAUCUCGACUACAACGCGCUGGUCCAGUCGGUCAUGGCCAAAACAGAUCCUGUUACCUUGAGUGAUCUCUAUGGCCAAAUCCUGGCGUAUGAUU
rfam:Sorghum bicolor cultivar BTx623 chromosome 2, whole genome shotgun sequence.